rnacentral:rRNA from 1 species
UCAGCAUCUGAAAUGAAGUAGGACCACCCGCUGAACUUAAGCAUAUCAUUAAGCGGAGGAAAAGAAACUAACAAGGAUUCCCUAUAGUACGGGCGACGGAAGCGGGAAAAGCCCA